GAUGAAGAACGUAGCGAAAUGCGAUAAGUAAUGUGAAUUGCAGAAUUCAGUGAAUCAUCGAAUCUUUGAACGCACAUUGCGCCCCCUGGUAUUCCGGGGGGCAUGCCUGUUCGAGCGUCAUUUCACCACUCAAGCCUCGCUUGGUAUUGGGCAACGCGGUCCGCCGCGUGCCUCAAAUCGACCGGCUGGGUCUUCUGUCCCCUAAGCGUUGUGGAAACUAUUCGCUAAAGGGUGUUCGGGAGGCUACGCCGUAAAACAACCCCAUUUCUAAGGUUGAGCUCGGAUCAGGUAGGGAUACCCGCUGAACUUAAGCAUAUCAAUAAGCGGAGGA
rnacentral:misc_RNA from 1 species